AGAGUUUGAUCCUGGCUCAGAACGUACGCUGGCGGCACGCCUUAUACAUGCAAGUCGAACGGAGUAGCAAUACUUAGUGGCAGACGGGUGAGUAACAUGUGGGUAUCUUCCCUUUGGUGAGGAAUAACACGAGGAAACUUGUGCUAAUACCGGAUAAGUCUUUACGGAGAAAGCUUUAUGCACCAUUGGAUGAGCCUGCACUUGAUUAGUUUGUUGGUGGGGUAAUGGCCUACCAAGACAAUGAUCAAUAGCUGAUUUGAGAGGAUGAUCAGCCACAUUGGAACUGAGACACGGUCCAAACUCCUACGGGAGGCAGCAGUAGGGAAUCUUGCACAAUGGAGGAAACUCUGAUGCAGCGAUGCCGCGUGAGUGAAGAAGGCCUUUGGGUUGUAAAGCUCUUUCGUCGGGGAAGAAAAUGACUGUACCCGAAUAAGAAGGUCCGGCUAACUUCGUGCCAGCAGCCGCGGUAAUACGAAGGGACCUAGCGUAGUUCGGAAUUACUGGGCUUAAAGAGUUCGUAGGUGGUUAAAAAAGUUGGUGGUGAAAUCCCAAGGCUUAACCUUGGAACUGCCUCCAAAACUUUUUAACUAGAGUGUGAUAGAGGAAAGUGGAAUUUCUAGUGUAGAGGUGAAAUUCGUAGAUAUUAGAAGGAACACCGAUUGCGAAGGCAGCUUUCUGGAUCAUUACUGACACUGAGGAGCGAAAGCAUGGGUAGCGAAGAGGAUUAGAUACCCUCGUAGUCCAUGCCGUAAACGAUGUGUGCUAGACGUUGGAAAUUUAUUUUUCAGUGUCGCAGCAAAAGCGUUAAGCACACCGCCUGGGGAGUACGACCGCAAGGUUAAAACUCAAAUGAAUUGACGGGGACCCGCACAAGUAGUGGAGCAUGUGGUUUAAUUCGAAGAUACGCGCAGAACCUUACCAACACUUGACAUGUUCGUCGCGACUUUAAGAAAUUAAAGUUUUCGGUUCGGCCGGACGAAACACAGGUGCUGCAUGGCUGUCGUCAGCUCGUGUCGUGAGAUGUUGGGUUAAGUCCCGCAACGAGCGCAACCCUUACUUUUAGUUGCUACCAUUUAGUUGGGCACUCUAAAAGAACUGCCGGUGAUAAGCUGGAGGAAGGUGGGGAUGACGUCAAGUCCUCAUGGCCCUUAUGUGUUGGGCUACACACGUGCUACAAUGGUAUCUACAAUGAGAUGCGAAGAGGCGACUCUAAGCCAAUCCCAAAAAGAUACCUCAGUUCGGAUUGUACUCUGCAACUCGAGUACAUGAAGCUGGAAUUACUAGUAAUCGUGGAUCAGCGCGCCACGGUGAAUACGUUCCCGGGUCUUGUACACACCGCCCGUCACACCAUGGAAGUUGGUUACACCUUAAGGCAAAGCAUAAAACCUUUGACUACGGUACGAUCAGCGACUGGGGUGAAGUCGUAACAAGGUAACC
rnacentral:rRNA from 1 species